rnacentral:rRNA from 1 species
UGGGGAAUUUUGGACAAUGGGCGCAAGCCUGAUCCAGCCAUGCCGCGUGCGGGAAGAAGGUCUUCGGGUUGUAAACCGCUUUUGUCAGGGAAGAAAUCUUCUGAGUUAAUACCUCGGGAGGAUGACGGUACCUGAAGAAUAAGCACCGGCUAACUACGUGCCAGCAGCCGCGGUAAUACGUAGGGUGCAAGCGUUAAUCGGAAUUACUGGGCGUAAAGCGUGCGCAGGCGGUUUUGUAAGACAGAGGUGAAAUCCCCGGGCUCAACCUGGGAACUGCCUUUGUGACUGCAAGGCUUGAGUGCGGCAGAGGGGGAUGGAAUUCCGCGUGUAGCAGUGAAAUGCGUAGAUAUGCGGAGGAACACCGAUGGCGAAGGCAAUCCCCUGGGCCUGCACUGACGCUCAUGCACGAAAGCGUGGGGAGCAAACAGGAUUAGAUACCCUGGUAGUCCACGCCCUAAACGAUGUCAACUGGUUGUUGGGAAGGUUCCUUCUCAGUAACGUAGCUAACGCGUGAAGUUGACCGCCUGGGGAGUACGGCCGCAAGGUUGAAACUCAAAGGAA